CCUCCCCCUAGAGGCCUUGCACGUGUGGCUGUGGUCUCACAUGUGUGUUAUUACAUUAGGGGGAAAGAGAGGAGAGAAGCUAUGUCUACAUACAAUGUUCUGUCAUAUGAAUAUCUGAGUGAUUGAUAGCACAACAUU